rnacentral:rRNA from 1 species
AACGAACGCUGGCGGCAUGCCUAACACAUGCAAGUCGAACGAGACCUUCGGGUCUAGUGGCGCACGGGUGCGUAACGCGUGGGAACCUGCCCUUAGGUUCGGAAUAACUCCCCGAAAGGGGUGCUAAUACCGGAUAAAGUCUUCGGACCAAAGAUUUAUCGCCUUUGGAUGGGCCCGCGUUGGAUUAGCUAGUUGGUAGGGUAAAAGCCUACCAAGGCGACGAUCCAUAGCUGGUCUGAGAGGAUGAUCAGCCACACUGGGACUGAGACACGGCCCAGACUCCUACGGGAGGCAGCAGUGGGGAAUAUUGGACAAUGGGCGAAAGCCUGAUCCAGCAAUGCCGCGUGAGUGAUGAAGGCCUUAGGGUUGUAAAGCUCUUUUACCCGGGAUGAUAAUGACAGUACCGGGAGAAUAAGCUCCGGCUAACUCCGUG